UUUAUAUUAGUAGAAAUACCGAUGGAUAUGGAUAUGUAACCCGUGUUUUUUUUUUGUGUGUGUGGGAGGGGGGGGGGGGAGGGGUGUCGACUCUGUUAUGCCUCAAUGGUUGGCUUUGCCUGAUUUUUAUAAUAUAUAGUUUUGGAAAAAAAUACCCAUAGAUACGGUGAUGUAUCGCGUGUUCUUCUUUAAAAUACGUGGUCGACUCUGUUGGGCCUCGAUGGCUGGCUUUCCCUGAUUUUAAUAAUAUAUAAUCUCAAAAAAAUAAAAAUACCCAUAGAUACGGAGAUUUAUCGCGUGUUUUUCUUUAAAAAUUUCUAUUUUUAUGUACUAUACUAAACAUGCCGUUCCUUCAGAGAACUGGUAGUCACAGUAUACCUGGCUCAGCAUGGCCAGCUCCGCUGCUAACCGGGCCUGGCAUGGCUCGUAGGCCCGCAUAUAAACGGGUGGGGCCAGCCCGCUGCGGCGAAAGCCAUGGCUGUGUGCCCAACCAGGCUGGCCUAGGCCCGUUUAGCCUGCGGCCCGCAAAGAGUAUACAAGAAAAAAAUAAUGCUCAAUAGGGCAA
rnacentral:lncRNA from 1 species